rnacentral:rRNA from 1 species
UACGAAGGGGGCUAGCGUUGUUCGGAGUUACUGGGCGUAAAGGGCGCGUAGGCGGCCCUCCAAGUCGGGCGUGAAAGCCCACGGCUCAACCGUGGAAUUGCGCUCGAGACUGAAGGGCUCGAGGACGGGAGAGGAUGGUGGAAUUCCCAGUGUAGAGGUGAAAUUCGUAGAUAUUGGGAAAGAACACCGGUGGCGAAGGCGGCCAAUCUGGACCGUAUCUGACGCUGAGGCGCGAAAGCGUGGGGAGCAAACAGGG